rnacentral:misc_RNA from 1 species
GAAAUGCGAUAAGUAAUGUGAAUUGCAGAAUUCAGUGAAUCAUCGAAUCUUUGAACGCACAUUGCGCCCCUUGGUAUUCCGAGGGGCAUGCCUGUUCGAGCGUCAUUGCAACCCUCAAGCUCAGCUUGGUGUUGGGCACCGCCCCCCCGGGGUGGGCCCGAAAAUCAGUGGCGGUCCAGUGAGACUUCAAGCGUAGUAAAUUAUUCAUCCGCUUUGGAAGCUUCUCCCUGUGUGCCAGCCGGAAAACCCCAUAUUUUUCAAUGGUUGACCUCGGAUCAGGUAGGGAUACCCGCUGAACUUAA